UCCCAGCAUGCACCGCGCACGGGGCAUGGUGGGAAGAAGAUGGAGACUCUCCUUAUGUGCAGAACGCAGGCAGGAGGGGGAAUGCCUUUGAGAAGCACUGGGACGCAGAAAGACUUUGCAAAUAUUGCUUAAAGGUAAACAACAUUGUGUUCCUCACAGUUCAUGUUUGAACCACCAAAUAAUGCAGAAUAAGCGUGCCCCUCCUGUGCUACAGCUGCGCGCCUGUGCUGUCAUCAUUGUGAUGACCCUUUAUAAAUUAAUCUCUGCUGGUAACACUAUCCUUGGAGCUAGGAGUGCUUUUGUUUCUCCAUUCAAACUUCUCUCAAGAAGGAGCAGAUGCUGUGCUUCGCCACCCUAAGUGCAUCUAGACUGGUCUGGGAACCUUGAAAGUCCCACUGCCCAGCCUGCAACAGACCAACCCCUGGGGCAGGCCUGGGCAGCAGCAUUCUACGGCUCUCCAAGCGGGCCCUGUGAGCUGACAAGUGAGAAAUACUGACAUAAAGGAAGUCUCGAAACACAUGAUGGUGUCCUACUGCCCCUGGUCACCUGUCCCACAGGCCCGGUGGG